AUGAACGCUGGCGGCGUGCUUAACACAUGCAAGUCGAACGGAAAGGCCAGUGCUUGCACUGGUACUCGAGUGGCGAACGGGUGAGUAACACGUGGGUGAUCUGCCCUGUACUUCGGGAUAAGCUUGGGAAACUGGGUCUAAUACCGGAUAGGACAACUUUUUGGAUAUUGUUGUGGAAAGCUUUUGCGGUAUGGGAUGAGCUCGCGGCCUAUCAGCUUGUUGGUGGGGUAAUGGCCUACCAAGGCGUCGACGGGUAGCCGGCCUGAGAGGGUGUACGGCCACAUUGGGACUGAGAUACGGCCCAGACUCCUACGGGAGGCAGCAGUGGGGAAUAUUGCACAAUGGGCGCAAGCCUGAUGCAGCGACGCCGCGUGGGGGAUGAAGGCCUUCGGGUUGUAAACUCCUUUCGCUAGGGACGAAGCUUUUUUGUGACGGUACCUGGAGAAGAAGCACCGGCUAACUACGUG
rnacentral:rRNA from 1 species